rnacentral:tRNA from 1 species
UGGCUUAGUGGUUAGGGUAUUUGGCUCACAAUCAUAAGGUAUUGGGUUCAAUUCCCAG